rnacentral:rRNA from 1 species
UACGUAGGGUGCAAGCGUUAAUCGGAAUUACUGGGCGUAAAGCGUGCGCAGGCGGUUGUGCAAGACAGAUGUGAAAUCCCCGGGCUCAACCUGGGAAUUGCAUUUGUGACUGCACGGCUAGAGUGUGUCAGAGGGGGGGUAGAAUUCCACGUGUAGCAGUGAAAUGCGUAGAGAUGUGGAGGAAUACCGAUGGCGAAGGCAGCCCCCCUGGGAUAACACUGACGCUCAUGCACGAAAGCGUGGGGGAGCAA